rnacentral:lncRNA from 1 species
GCCGGCCUGGGCCGGUCAUCCCCUGGCUGGCGCGACCCGCAGCCUGUCCGGGAAGCCGUUGCGACAUGCGGGCUGGGAACCGCCUCACCUCCGGGGGGGACCGCGGCGGCCCGCUAGACUCUGGUCGGGUCUGGAGUAUUGGGCCCUCUGGCCGGACCCGGUGCUCCUCAGGCCCCAGCGCCCGGCACUGAGCCUCGCAUCCACAUUCGCACAGUAAACCCAACAAGUGUUGAAUGAAUGAGGUUCCCCGGGCCCCGGCUGUCACUGGGCUCUGCGCCAGGCCAAGAGCCGAAGGCGGGGGAGGAAGAUGUCGAAAUGGGCGGGAUGAUUCACAGUUGACGGCCGGUGGCGAGGCGGGGCUGGAGGCCGCAUCCCAAAGGCAGCAGGGAAGUGCGGCGGCUGUGGGGAAGCUCGGACGCACGGCCUGGCCGAGUCUGAAGCAUCAGUAUUUUGUCCCUGAGCCGGCGCGCUGAUGGGUCCCCCGCCUGGCGAUGAGGGCUUCUCCCUCCCUCGGGUCAGCCCGGGUCCUGAGAGGCAAGGCCAGCGAUUCCCGGCCUUAGGACCUCCUGCGCUAGGGAGCACGGGCGUCUUCUUCCGUUUGCCUUCCCCGAGCGUGUUGGCACAAGCUGUCCGCGGUUUCCAGCUCUGUCUUCUCUGUUUUACCCAGAUGAUGCAACUGUGGACUUCUCCAUCUGUUUAUAGGUUUUCCUUGGACAGGAAAGAUGUUUUCCUUUUUUCUUUCUAAAGUUUAGCCCUUCUCUGGGCUUCCUUUUUAAAAACUUUUUCUACUCUCUUCAGCAGUUGUUAUUAACCUUUAGGUCGCGACCGUUUGGAAAAUAAUAAAGCUACGAAUUCUCUUCUCCUA